AGUGAACGCUGGCGGCGUGCUUAACACAUGCAAGUCGAACGAGAACGGAUUAUAGCUUGCUAUAAUUGUCAGCUAAGUGGCGCACGGGUGAGUAAUGUAUAGGUAAUAUGCCUCUUACUAAGGGAUAACAAAUGGAAACGUUUGCUAAUACCUUAUACUCCUUAUUAACAGAAGUUAAUAAGGGAAAGAUUUAUUGAUAAGAGAUUAGCCUGUAUUGUAUCAGUUAGUUGGUGGGGUAAUGGCUUACCAAGACUAUGACACAUAACUGGUUUGAGAGGAUGAUCAGUCACACUGGAACUGAGACACGGUCCAGACUCCUACGGGAGGCAGCAGUGGGGAAUAUUGCACAAUGGACAAAAGUCUGAUGCAGCAACGCCGCGUGGAGGAUGACACAUUUCGGUGCGUAAACUCCUUUUAUAUGAGAAGAUAAUGACGGUAUUAUAUGAAUAAGCACCGGCUAACUCCGUGCCAGCCGCCGCAGUAA
rnacentral:rRNA from 1 species